GCUUGGAUGGAAUUCUUUGGAAGGAAGCUCAAGUGACUGAGUGGCGGACGGGUGAGUAACGCGUGGGUAACCUGCCUCAUACAGGGGGAUAACAGUUAGAAAUGACUGCUAAUACCGCAUAAGCACACGUGAUCGCAUGAUCGAGUGUGAAAAACUCCGGUGGUAUGAGAUGGACCCGCGUCUGAUUAGCUAGUUGGUGGGGUAAUGGCCCACCAAGGCGACGAUCAGUAGCCGGCCUGAGAGGGUGAACGGCCACAUUGGGACUGAGACACGGCCCAAACUCCUACGGGAGGCAGCAGUGGGGAAUAUUGCACAAUGGGGGAAACCCUGAUGCAGCGACGCCGCGUGAAGGAUGAAGUAUUUCGGUAUGUAAACUUCUAUCAGCAGGGAAGAAAAUGACGGUACCUGACUAAGAAGCCCCGGCUAACUACGUGCCAGCAGCCGCGGUAAUACGUAGGGGGCAAGCGUUAUCCGGAUUUACUGGGUAUAAAGGGAGCGUAGACGGCAGUGCAAGUCUGAAGUGAAAGCCCGGGGCUCAACCCCGGGACUGCUUUGGAAACUGUGCAGCUAGAGUGUCGGAGAGGCAAGCGGAAUUCCUAGUGUAGCGGUGAAAUGCGUAGAUAUUAGGAGGAACACCAGUGGCGAAGGCGGCUUGCUGGACGAUGACUGACGU
rnacentral:rRNA from 1 species